AUGUCUUCGUAUUUGACAUCUUACUUUGAAAUCUUUCUUCUAGGGAACUUAUGGGAAAUUGCAUACAGAGCUGUGAACAUUUGGUAAAACUGUUAGUGUUAGUGAUUAAGAUUAUGGUGUGAAGUUAGUUAGUCCUCUUCUCAUAUGCGGUGGAUAUGUGCAUUUGUUUUCUGAUUUAAAGCAUGUCCAAGUUCCUGUUCCAUCACCCAAGAGCAAUGAGGUUUUCCUGAAAUUAGAAGCUACUAGUCUAAACCCUGUUGAUUGGAAAAUUCAAAAAGGAUUGAUCAGGCCUUUUUUCCCCCGCAAGUUCCCCUGCAUUCCUGCUACUGAUGUUGCUGGAGAGGUCGUUGAGGUUGGAUCAGGAGUCAAGAAUUUUAAGGCUGGUGACAAAGUUGUAGCGGUUCUUAACCAUCUUACUGGAGGUGGACUUGCUGAGUUCGCCGUUGCAAGCGAGAAACUGACCGUCAAGAGACCCCAAAAAGUGGGAGCAGCUGAAGCAGCCGCUUUGCCUGUGGCAGGUCUAACCGCACUCCAGGCUCUAACUCAGCCUGCGGGGUUGAAGAUGGAUGGUACAGGCAAGCAGGCAAACAUCCUGAUCACAGCAGCGUCUGGCGGGGUCGGCCACUAUGC